rnacentral:rRNA from 1 species
CGAGAGGUGCAAGACCUCGGCGUACUGCUCAGUAACACGUGGACAAUCUGCCCUGAAGAGGAGGAUAAUCCCGGGAAACUGGGGGUAAUACUCCAUAGUUCGUGCUGACUGGAAUGUUAUGCGAACGAAAGAUCCGUCGCUUCAGGAUGAGUCUGCGGCCGAUUAGGUAGUUGUUGGGGUAACGGCCCAACAAGCCUGUCAUCGGUACGGGUUGUGGGAGCAAGAGCCCGGAGAUGGAUUCUGAGACACGAAUCCAGGCCCUACGGGGCGCAGCAGGCGCGAAAACUUUACCAUGCGGGCAACCGUGAUAAGGAAACCCCGAGUGCCAGCACAGGCUGGCUGUCCACCAGUGUAAAUAACUGGUGAAGAAAGGGCCGGGCAAGACCGGUGCCAGCCGCCGCGGUAAUACCGGCGGCUCGAGUGGUGGCCGCUAUUACUGGGCUUAAAGGGUCCGUAGCUGGAUAUACAAGUCCCUUGAGAAAUCCGCCGGCUUAACCGGUGGGCGUUCAGGGGAAACUGUAUUUCUAGGGACCGGGAGAGGUGAGAGGUACUGCCGGGGUAGGAGUGAAAUCCUGUAAUCCCGGUGGGACCACCUAUGGCGAAGGCAUCUCACCAGAACGGGUCCGACAGUGAGGGACGAAAGCUGGGGGAGCAAACCGGAUUAGAUACCCGGGUAGUCCCAGCUGUAAACGAUGCGCGUUAGGUGUGUCAGUGACCACGUGUCACUGAGGUGCCGAAGGGAAACCGUGAAACGCGCCGCCUGGGGAGUACGGUCGCAAGGCUGAAACUUAAAG